rnacentral:rRNA from 1 species
UUACGGCCAUAUCACGUCGAAACACCGGUUCUUGUACGAUCACCGAAGUUAAGCAACGUCGAACCUGGUCAGUACCUAAAUGGGUAACCGCUUGGAAAUACCAGGCGUUGAAA